CGGAGUGUAGCGCAGCUUGGUAGCGCAUCUGGUUUGGGACCAGGGGGUCGGGAGUUCGAAUCUCUCCACUCCGACCA
rnacentral:tRNA from 2 species